GACAAGGAACAAUCUGUUACAUAUUGACAUAUCUUAAAAUCGAGUUUUCAUGUAUUUAAUUUUUCCCUUUUUUUUUCUUCGAUGGAAUGUAAUUGGAUACGUGAGUGGAUAGGGAGAGAGAUGGCGCAUGAGACUGGAUAUGUAUGUACUAGGACCUAGUACAUGCCAACAUUCUCAUGCCUUCUUGGUGUCAAUCCCUCUGAUGGAUGAUGACGAAA
rnacentral:ribozyme from 1 species